GACGAACGCUGGCGGCGUGCUUAACACAUGCAAGUCGAGCGGUAAGGCCCUUUCGGGGGUACACGAGCGGCGAACGGGUGAGUAACACGUGGGUGACCUGCCCUCAGCUCUGGGAUAAGCCUGGGAAACCGGGUCUAAUACCGGAUAUGACUCCAUGACGCAUGUUGUGGGGUGGAAAGCCUUGUGCGGCUGAGGAUGGGCCCGCGGCCUAUCAGCUUGUUGGUGGGGUGAUGGCCUACCAAGGCGACGACGGUAGCCGGCCUGAGAGGCGACCGGCCACACUGGGACUGAGACACGGCCCAGACUCCUACGGGAGGCAGCAGUGGGGAAUCUUGCGCAAUGGGCGAAAGCCUGACGCAGCGACGCCGCGUGAGGGAUGGCGGCCUGGU
rnacentral:rRNA from 1 species